CUCCAAGAAAAAUAUGAAUUGCUCUCAAGUCCAAAAAGAAUUUUUCGCAGUACUGUGGAAAGGAAACAAGACUGACAGUUUGUGGGGGAAGGGCCCAACUGGGAGUGGCAGUUGGGUCUUGUGACUAGCACUUCCUUCCUGCUGGGUGUGGCAGUUGGGUCUUGUGACUAGCACUUGCUUCCUGCCGGGUGGGUCUGGCUUCUGGGUAUUGGAGGGGAGAGGAGCUAGUUCAGCCCAGUUUAGUGGCAUGCUCUUCUUGGUUCAGCCCGAAGACACAGGCUUCUGAAGUUGCAGAGACUCGCAAGGUCACAGCAGGAAGUCAGCAAGGAAAUGAACCUCUUCCAGCUGGUGGAUUAAUUUCAGUGUUCCAAAAGUCUUAAUGCAGCUUUAAGCUUAGUGGCUUAAAACCAAGAGAUGAUCAGCUGAUGAAGGAGUGAGGAAAGGAAUAUACGUGGAGAACCAAGAGAACAAGAAUGGUAACAAAUGGGAACAUCAUACUUUCCCAAGGAAAAAGUUGACCACCUACAAUCUCAUCAGCAAGCAGAUGGACUCAAUUUUUUAACUCAAUUCUUUCUCAGCUCCCUCAGUUGUCUCUCUCUUAUGCACUGAGGGUUUGAGGGAGCUAUAACAAACUCCUCCCAAUUCCUUCCUUUAUAGAGAGCUCAGAACUUUUCAGGUAACUUUCCAUUUUUCAUCAGUGACUCUACUUGAUUUCUACUUCUUGGAAAAUUGAACCUCUUAGAUCCCUCCUCACCUGUUUUAGCUUCUUUUUGUGUAUUGUCUUUUGCCAUUAUAUAAUAAAUUCCCUGAGAACAGAAA
rnacentral:lncRNA from 1 species